rnacentral:precursor_RNA from 1 species
GAACUAGUUGAAGACAGUAGUAGGCAGCUCUCCUCUGGCAGGUGCAUUCUAGGUGAUUUUGUAAUUGUAUAUGCAUCCAAGGUAUAUACAGUCCGGCCAUGGUGCUACAUUGCAAUCAUCCAUAUGUGAUUGCAUUGUGUAUAUAUAUACAUGGUGGCCUUUGAUAGACCAUCAUAUAUCGGUUGGUGAUGUGCAUGUAUGUAUAUACCAGCUGCUACUAACUUUGAUCGAUCGCCAUGUAGCGAUUGAAUUCACCAAAACGGCCUGCC